rnacentral:SRP_RNA from 1 species
GCCAGGCAUGGUGGCACAUGCCUCUAAUCCUAGCAGCUCAGGAGGCUGAGACUGGAGGAUCAUGAGUUCAAAGCCACCUCAGCAGAAAUAAUUGAGGUGCUAAAGCAGCUCAGUGAGACCCUGUCUUAA